CUUCGGUCUCGAGGGUUAUCCCAGCAGACCGGUGAAGAAGAAUAAUUCGGGCCAGACAUGAUUUAAGAUGAGGCCUAGACGAGGAGACGUCUCCAUCAUCAUAAUGUGACUCCCCUGGGACCAGCAAGGCACAGACAGGGUGGCUAGCUGGGACCAGAGCCCAACACUCCACAUGUCUCUCCACUAGUGGCACUCAUCAGGAAGAAGCGGUACCUCAAGGCUUCAUUUUCUUCCUAAUCCAAUUAUGACUGUGGAUCAACCUGACCAACUGCAAGUUCAAGAGCGCGACUUCCAGGCCUACACCAGGGCCAAGAAGCACAAGAUGUACAGUACCAGUCAAAAGUUUGGACACCUACUCAUUCAAGGGUUUUGCUUUAUUUGUACUAUUUUCUAUGUUGUAGAAUAAUAGUGAAGACAUCAAAACUAUGAAAUAACACUUAUUUCAAUGUCAUUGUUCUUUCAUGUUCAUACUGUGUAGUUUUGUUAGGGAUCGUAUUUAAAGCUUAAAGUUUUUUAUGCCACAUGCACAAGUACAGUGAAUUGCCUUUCUGGCAAGCGCUAAACCCAACAAUGUAGUAUUCAAUAUUAAUGUAGUGCGACAAAUAACAUAAGGUAAAACAAAAACACACGAGAAAUUAAAAUAAGAGCACGAGAAGUAAUUUAGCUAUAUACAGGGUCAGUUCCAAUACCAGAUUUACAAGGUGACUAGACCUCAGGAUACAGUAUAUGAUAAACAGUGUAGCAGCAUAUGAUGAUUGUACUGUAUGUGAGUGUGUGUAAAUGUGUCAGUCUAAAUGUGUGUGCAUGUUACGUGUGUGUGUGUUGGAGUGUGUGAGUGUGCAUAGAGACGGUGCAAAAAUAAAAUUAAUGUAUAGUACAAUGUAAUGUUUAGUACAAUGUAGGAUAGAAAUGCUAACAUUUGUUUUCUGUUGGUAUUGAUAUGUUGUACAUCAUCAGUAUGUUGUAAACGUGUUCAAGGGGAUUGAGACAGACAGGAACACAAUCGAACACAGACACGCAGGCAGACGGACUUAGAUAAGAUAGACAUCUGUCCUUGAACUCAGACCUACAGUGGGUGUGUUCAAUCUUGCUCCUCUCAAACCGUAUUUGUUUACCGGUGAUAUGGCCCCAUUGAUGACUCAAGCUACCGUUUUACUAGCUCUUGUCAUAAAAGACUUAGCAACAAUGCCAAACAUUCAAACACUGUGAAUGUACUCCUGUUCUCUAGUUCCUCUUCGACAGUCUCUAUCUCACUCACUGUCCCCUUUCAUGCAUCUGACCAACUACACCAUUAACAAACACAGUGAGAACUUUGUCUGGGACGAGAACGCUGUUAGCAAAAGGUGAUCUAUUGACACGAGUCUUCCUGGGCUUUCACUUUGAUGCUGUAUUUGACUAUCCAGCUAUGGUAUUUCACCAAGGUGUUCCUGUAGCGUGGGUAUUUACUCGUGCUUGGUUCCAGGAGUGAAAGGCAAGCACAAUGCCUAUUCUUUUAGGUAUAAAUUCUACAGGUUUCCCUCUCAUUAGGAUAAUGGCUCAAUCAACUUGAGAAAACCCUGUCGGUCACAAAACAGACCAUGCAAAUGCGACCGGUGUCGGAAUGAAGCAGCUAGAACAAUUAAUGUCAGUCUAAAAGCAAUGACUCAGAGCUGUCAGUCAUGUCCCACUCUGAGACUUAUGGCCAUCUCUGGCCCAGGUCCCCCGUACCAUACUCGUAUCAGUAUGCAAGAGCCACAGCCAGGCUUGUCAGCAGGCCAAGCAUCCAAUCUUAUUUGCAGCAUGUGUCACGACUCAGGAGGCUGAUAUACUGCCACUCAUAUUUCAUCACUGCCUUGAUAUGUCAGGCGUAUUUUUGCCCCCAAACAAAACUAACUGCAAGAACCUUAACAGUGUGGAUAAAGUGAAAAUGAAGUUGUCUGCAGUUGUACACACAGACAACAUUGUGACAGUUGAAAGUGUUUUCGCAAGAAGAGGCAGCGGCAUUGGAACAGGUCUAUGACAUGACGCUCAACCGAUACUGUAUGUGGCGACAUUCCUGUCUGUUUGAAUGGUCUUUGUCCCGCUCGUGGUCUUUCUCUCUCUCCCCCCUCCCCACAGGAAGUUGACCCAUCUGCUGGAGACGAUGCACUGAUACGGGGAAGGUGUGGGCUGACAUCGAGGAUGUGGUGAUCAAGGCUCUGGUCUCAGCCCACUCAGUGCUCCAGCACAGCUACCACACAUGCUUCUCGUACCACGCCGCCUCCAACACCGCCACCGGGGCCUACUUCGAGAUCCUGGGCUUCGACGUGCUCAUCGACUACCGCCUCAAGCGCUGGCUGUUCGAGAUCAACCACUCCACUAGCUUCACUACAGACUCCAGGCUGGACAGAGAGGUGAAGGACAGGCUGCUGUAUGACAUGAUCGUGCUGAUUAACCUGGGGGCCUGUGACCGACGCAAAGCCACUGAGGAAGAGAGGAGCAGGAUCAGAGACUGGCUGCAGCACAUCCGCUCCAAGGAGACACGGUGUGUUCUCUGCCUCCGAGCCUGCCUACCAUCCUGUACCUGGCUGACUCUGACCUGAUUACGAACCCGUGCCUGCCCUCUGCCUGCCCUGUGUUUCUAAUAAAUAAUCUGAGAACUGUACUAUCCGCCUCCCGUGUCUGCAUCUGGGUCAUAUCCAGAGUCUGAUUGUACAAACUGGCCAUGACUAACCCAGCAAACGCUUACCAGCUCUGCAGCGCCAUCUCCUCUCAGGGAGCCACCAUUGGAAGACACGAGGUGUUACUUCAAGUACUUAUGGAAGGAUUCCAGACCUUGGCGGUACGCCAGGACCAUGCCUUCAAUACAUUGCUGGAACAAUUCCUCGGAUUGUCUGUGAGGCAGCCCACCACUACAGUAAUCCCCCAGACUGUCAAUUACCCCACUACCACCGGCGUUUCUCCCCAAUCUACCCCGGCUUCCCAAGAACCCCGCAUACUUCCUCCGGAUCGCUACGCUGGAGAUCCCAGAUUCUGCUGGGCGUUUCUCUCCCAGUGUUCUCUCAUCUUUGAGCUGCAGCCUUCUUCAUUUGGAUGCUACCCUGGUGUCGGAGCAGGAAAUCCCCACACAACCCCUCUCCAUUCCCAUGGACGUCAGAGCGUUGGAUGGGCGCGCUCUAUUGGCAGAGUCACCACACCACGUGUACCAUUAACCCGAGAGUGUUGGGUAAUCAUAGUGAGUUUAUGCAGUUCCUGCCCAUCGAAUCCCCUCAUGCACCUGUGGUUUUGGGGUUUCCUUGGCUCCAGAGGCACAAUCACCUGAUCGACUGGGCUACUGGUUCUAUCCUGGGUUGGAGCCCGUUUUGCCAUGGGCAUUGCCAGAAGUCGGCGCUGCCUGCCCCAGGACGUCUUCCUGUGGGCUUGGGAAAAGGCCCGGACCUCUCCCCCGUUCACGCGGAGUACCAGGACCUCCAGGAGGUUUUCAGCAAGGCCCGUACCACCGCGCUUCCUCCGCUUUGGCCCUAUGACUGCGCCAUCGACCUUCUCCUGGGCACUACACCGCCUCGGGCGCAGCUUUUUUCCCUGUUGGGUCCGGAGACCAAGGUGAUGGACCUGCACUUUGCCUGCCCUGGCGUUUCGGUGGGUCCCCCGUGGUACGGAUGAGCUAACGUAGGCUAAAGCGAUUAGCAUGAGGUUGUAAGUAACAAGAACAUUUCCCAGGACAUAGACAUA